GGGACACGUGGUAUCCUGUCUGAAUAUGGGGGGACCAUCCUCCAAGGCUAAAUACUCCUGACUGACCGAUAGUGAACCAGUACCGUGAGGGAAAGGCGAAAAGAACCCCGGCGAGGGGAGUGAAAAAGAACCUGAAACCGUGUACGUACAAGCAGUGGGAGCCUCUUUAUGGGGUGACUGCGUACCUUUUGUAUAAUGGGUCAGCGACUUAUAUUCUGUAGCAAGGUUAACCGUAUAGGGGAGCCGAAGGGAAACCGAGUCUUAACUGGGCGUUAAGUUGCAGGGUAUAGACCCGAAACCCGGUGAUCUAGCCAUGGGCAGGUUGAAGGUUGGGUAACACUAACUGGAGGACCGAACCGACUAAUGUUGAAAAAUUAGCGGAUGACCUGUGGCUGGGGGUGAAAGGCCAAUCAAACCGGGAGAUAGCUGGUUCUCCCCGAAAGCUAUUUAGGUAGCGCCUCGUGAACUCAUCUUCGGGGGUAGAGCACUGUUUCGGCUAGGGGGCCAUCCCGGCUUACCAACCCGAUGCAAACUACGAAUACCGAAGAAUGUUAUCACGGGAGACACACGGCGGGUGCUAACGUCCGUCGUGAAGAGGGAAACAACCCAGACCGCCAGCUAAGGUCCCAAAGUCAUGGUUAAGUGGGAAACGAUGUGGGAAGGCACAGACAGCCAGGAUGUUGGCUUAGAAGCAGCCAUCAUUUAAAGAAAGCGUAAUAGCUCACUGGUCGAGUCGGCCUGCGCGGAAGAUGUAACGGGGCUAAACCAUGCACCGAAGCUGCGGCAGCGACACUAUGUGUUGUUGGGUAGGGGAGCGUUCUGUAAGCCGUUGAAGGUGUGCUGUGAGGCAUGCUGGAGGUAUCAGAAGUGCGAAUGCUGACAUAAGUAACGAUAAAGCGGGUGAAAAGCCCGCUCGCCGGAAGACCAAGGGUUCCUGUCCAACGUUAAUCGGGGCAGGGUGAGUCGACCCCUAAGGCGAGGCCGAAAGGCGUAGUCGAUGGGAAACAGGUUAAUAUUCCUGUACUUGGUGUUACUGCGAAGGGGGGACGGAGAAGGCUAUGUCAGCCGGGCGACGGUUGUCCCGGUUUAAGCAUGUAGGCGGA
rnacentral:rRNA from 2 species